UGUAGGAGCGAGCCUGCUCGCGAUAGCGGUAUGUCAGUCGCCAAUGAUUUGCCUGAACAGCCGCCUUCGCGAGCAGGCUCGCUCCCACA
rnacentral:misc_RNA from 1 species